rnacentral:rRNA from 1 species
CGCAAUGGACGAAAGUCUGACGGAGCAACGCCGCGUGAGUGAUGAAGGUUUUCGGAUCGUAAAGCUCUGUUGUUAGGGAAGAACAAGUACCGUUCAAAUAGGGCGGUACCUUGACGGUACCUAACCAGAAAGCCACGGCUAACUACGUGCCAGCAG